AUUAAAUAUAAUCUUUAAAGAUUAGAUAGAUUAGAUUAGAUAAAUUACAAUCAACCUCUAUGAUUAGACAAAUUAACAAUAAUUCUCGUCUGUCCCUCUGUCUAAAGUAAAAUUAAUUGUGUGAUUGUCUAUUAUGCCAUUUAUUUCUUGUCAAUUUGUUCGCGCCAAGUUGAUUGGAUUUUAGUUAGGUUAAAAACGCAGAUCCCCGGCACUUUGGCGUGACUGGUAUUCUGAACUUGUACUUUGUACUUGUCUUGUUUUAUGUGAUUAAUGUGUUAAUGGGCUGUUAGUUCACUAUUAUACGAAACUUUUCACACAAUGCAGGUGUGAAACUGUGAUAUACUUGUAAUGUAUCAGAUGGUACAGUUAGACGAAUUUGCGGGCAGUACCCUGGCAGUGAUCAACCAGAACUGGCUCACACCACUCAAGCAAGAGAUACUGUGACCUCCGAUUAAGGGGAGGAAAGCGUUUAGAGAGGCUCUUACUGACGGAGUCCAAGCUGACAGCAAUUGGAGGCCUUUUGAAAUAAAAAGAGUUUUCUUUCGAACGGGUUCCUAAUAAUAGUAGUUUUUUUUUAUCUGUCCUCCGGUUUUUAUUAUUAUUUUUGUGGCUGGUCAGAACUACUUUUAAUUAAUUAAAGUUGUAACCAUCUUUGCUUGCUUCCUGUCAAUAAAAUACGAUUUAAGAUUC